rnacentral:rRNA from 1 species
UACGUAGGGGUCGAGCGUUGUCCGGAGUUACUGGGCGUAAAGCGCGUGUAGGCUGCUUCGCAAGUCGGAUGUGAAAGCCCUGGGCUCAACCCAGGAAGUGCAUUCGAAACUGCAGAGCUGGAGUCCUGGAGAGGAAGGCGGAAUUCUCGGUGUAGAGGUGAAAUUCGUAGAUAUCGAGAGGAACACCGGUGGCGAAGGCGGCCUUCUGGACAGUGACUGACGCUGAGACGCGAAAGCGUGGGGAGCAAACAGG